GGAAGUAAGAGUCGUAACAAGGUCUCCGUAGGCGAACCUGCGGAGGGAUCAUUACAGAGUUCAUGCCCUACCGGGUAGAUCUCCCACCCUAUGUUAUUAUUACUUUGUUGCUUUGGCGGGCCGUUAGGCUCCGGCCCGACUACCGGCCCCGGCUGGUAAGCGCCCGCCAGAGGACCCAAAACCCUGAAUAUUAGUGUCGUCUGAGUACUAUAUAAUAGUUAAAACUUUCAACAACGGAUCUCUUGGUUCUG
rnacentral:misc_RNA from 1 species